UACGUAGGGUGCGAGCGUUGCCCGGAUUUAUUGGGCGUAAAGGGCGCGUAGGCGGCCACGCACGUCCGUUGUGAAAUCGCCCGGCUCAACUGGGCGGGGCCGGCGGAUACGGCGUGGCUGGAGCAAGCUAGGGGGCAAUGGAAUUCCCGGUGUAGUGGUGGAAUGCGUAGAUAUCGGGAGGAACACCAGUGGCGAAGGCGGUUGCCUGGAGCUUUGCUGACGCUGAGGCGCGAAAGCGUGGGGAGCGGUCCGG
rnacentral:rRNA from 1 species